AGGUCCCUGAAACUUAAGGAAGAGAAGACAGUAAGGGGAUCUUCAUUUAAUGAGAUGUGCUAAAUAAGUUGGACUGAAAAGGGCAAUUUUAUGUGUUGGACUUCCAUUUUGAAGAAGAACCUGUGGAUUGGCAUGUCAUCUAGAUCAGUGGAAUACAAAGAUGCUUUCUCCAAGGUGACUUCCAUGCUACUGAAAGCAAUCACUUUCUUCCUACAAAUACACCUCCCAGUGAUCAGGUAUUCUCAAUCAAUUGUUUAGGAAAUUUUACUACUCAUCAGUAUGAAAAUAUAUUGGUGUACUGCUCUACUAGGAAUACAUCUGGUCCAACACAGAAUUUAUUAUCUCUCCUCAAGAGUCAGCUCUGGCUAGUGUCCAUUAAGUUGUAUGUUCUGAACCCAUUAUCGUCACUUAGAUAACACUAAGCAUAACCAUAAGAAAACUAAACUGAAAAGCUUUCAAGAAAAAAAAAAAAAAAAAGGUGUUUUGUUUCUACCUCUUUCUAAGUAAAAGAGUUUAAAGGUGUUGAUCCUUUGGAUAUAAUUGUUAAGAUGUAGUGUUUUGUGCUCCUAGGUAGGAUGCCCUCAAUAUGCAUAAUAUUAAUUUAGCACUAUCAUCAAAUUUCCUUUUAAUGCAGUAAAAAUUCUUGGAUGGCAGCCAGCCUCUUUACCUCAUAAAAAAACAGCCUCUCUGAUUGCCUAUGUUGUAGAAAUCAAAUAAUAUGUUACAACAUAGUGCCUAAAAGAUGAGUAAACUGGCUGAGAACACACCCUCCACACAUGCAAAAUUUGGUCCCACUCACUGCUUGUUUGACAUUAUUGAUGAAGACGUGUUUUUUCUCACAGAGAUAAACAUGGCUCCAUAGGCCAAUUUCUUUUUGAUUUACAUGCAGUGCAGACUCUCUGGGCUAACUAAUUAGAAUGUGUUCCUUUACCAUAUCGUGCUUUAGAAAAGUUACUUUUUUCUAUCAUACAUCUUAGAAAUAAGAUAUUUCACUUUGGGAUGGUGAUGUUGCUCUUGUGCAUGCCAAUAAAACCUGUCAUCAGCCAGGCAGAUAAAAAUUAAACCAAGAAAAAACAUGUAAGUAUUCAUGCAGGUCAUGGUCUGGAAAAAUAAUCCACAAAAUUGUACUGAAUUUUCUUUUCUGCCUCCAUUCCCAAUUCAGUUACUGCAACAGAACUGAGGGCCUUACUUGAUAAUUUUUCCUUAUAAAAAGCUCUGAGAUUACAACAGGUGACUGUUGGGAGGAAGAUGGAUCUUCUAUUCAGCUAAAGUUGUGAUUUCAACCUU
rnacentral:lncRNA from 1 species